UAACAAGGAUUCCCCUAGUAACUGCGAGUGAAGCGGGAAAAGCUCAAAUUUAAAAUCUGACAGUCUUUGGCUGUCUGAGUUGUAACCUAGAGAAGUGCUGCCCGUGCUGGACCAUGUAUAAGUCUCCUGGAAUGGAGUGUCACAGAGGGUGAGAAUCCCGUCUUUGACAUGGACUGCCAGUGCAUUGUGGUGUGCUCUCAAAGAGUCGAGUUGUUUGGGAAUGCAGCUCUAAAUGGGUGGUAAAUUCCAUCUAAGGCUAAAUAUUGGCGAGAGACCGAUAGUGAACAAGUACCGUGAGGGAAAGAUGAAAAGAACUUUGGAAAGAGAGUUAAACAGUACGUGAAAUUGUUGAAAGGGAAACAUUUGAAGUCAGUUGUGUUAGCUUGGGGAUCAACCCAGCUUUUCUGCUUGGGUGUAUUUCCUGGUUGACAGGCCAACAUCAGUUUUGACCAUUAGAAAAAAACCAAGGAAAUGUGGCACCUCUGGGUGUGUUAUAGUCCUUGAUUGUAUGUAGUGGUUGGGACUGAGGCAUGCAGCACACCAUAAGGCUGGGUUUUGCCACAUUUGUGCUUAGGAUGUUGGCAUAAUGGCUUUAAGUGAC
rnacentral:rRNA from 1 species